rnacentral:rRNA from 1 species
UUUUUUAGAUUUUAGUGGCGGACGGGUGAGUAAUACGUAGGCAACCUGCCUAGAAGAGGGGGAUAACACUCAGAAAUGGGUGCUAAUACCGCAUAAGACCACAGUGUCGCAUGACACAGAGGUCAAAGGAGCAAUCCGCUUUUAGAUGGGCCUGCGGCUGAUUAGUUAGUUGGUAAGGUAACGGCUUACCAAGACGAUGAUCAGUAGCCGAGCUGAGAGGCUGGCCGGCCACAUUGGGACUGAGACACGGCCCAGACUCCUACGGGAGGCAGCAGUCGGGAAUAUUGGACAAUGGAGGAAACUCUGAUCCAGUGACGCCGCGUGAAGGAAGAAGGUCUUCGGAUUGUAAACUUAUUUUGUCAGGGAAGAAGCAAGUGACUGUACCUGAAGAAAAAGCACCGGCAAACUACGUGCCAGCAGCCGCGGUAAUACGUAGGGUGCAAGCGUUAUCCGGAAUUACUGGGUGUAAAGGGCGAGUAGACGGUUAUCUAAGUCGGUUGUGAAAACUUAGUGCUCAACAUUAAGCGUGCAACCGAAACUAGACUACUAGAGUGCAGGAGAGGAAAAUGGAAUUCCUAGUGUAGCGGUGAAAUGCGUAGAUAUUAGGAGGAACACCAGUGGCGAAGGCGAUUUUCUGGACUGUAACUGACGUUGAGGAGCGAAAGUGUGGGGAGCAAACAGGAUUAGAUACCCUGGUAGUCCACACUGUAAACGAUGGAUACUAGGUGUAGGCACGCAAGUGUCUGUGCCGCCGCAAACGCAAUAAGUAUCCCACCUGAGGAGUACGGCCGCAAGGUUGAAACUCAAAGAAAUUGACGGGGGCCCGCACAAGCAGUGGAGUAUGUGGUUUAAUUCGACGCAACGCGAAGAACCUUACCAAAACUUGACAUGGAGAGGAAUAACAUGGAAGCAUGUUAGUCUUCGGACCUCUUCACAGGUGAUGCAUGGUUGUCGUCAGCUCGUGUCGUGAGAUGUUGGGUUAAGUCCCGCAACGAGCGCAACCCUCGUGAUUAGUUGCUACUAUUAAGUUAGGGAACUCUAAUCAGACUGCCGUAGAUAAUACGGAGGAAGGUGAGGAUGAUGUCAAAUCAUCACGUCCCUUAUGUUUUGGGCUACACACGUACUACAAUGGGUAUAACAGAAAGAAGCGAAACCGCGAGGUGGAGCAAACCUAAGAAAAGUACCCCUAGUUCGGAUUGGAGGCUGCAACCCGCCUCCAUGAAGCUGGAAUUGCUAGUAAUCACAGGUCAGCAUACUGUGGUGAAUACGUUCCCGGGCCUUGCACACACCGCCCGUCA